rnacentral:rRNA from 1 species
AUUGAACGCUGGUGGCAUGCCUUACACAUGCAAGUCGAACGGUAACAGGUCUUCGGAUGCUGACGAGUGGUGAACGGGUGAGUAAUACAUCGGAACGUGCCCGAUCGUGGGGGAUAACGGAGCGAAAGCAUUGCUAAUACCGCAUACGAUCUACGGAUGAAAGCAGGGGACCGCAAGGCCUUGCGCGGACGGAGCGGCCG